GGAGGAAAAGAAACCAACAGGGAUUGCCUCAGUAGCGGCGAGUGAAGCGGCAAGAGCUCAGAUUUGAAAUCGUGCUUUGCGGCACGAGUUGUAGAUUGCAGGUUGGAGUCUGUGUGGAAGGCGGUGUCCAAGUCCCUUGGAACAGGGCGCCCAGGAGGGUGAGAGCCCCGUGGGAUGCCGGCGGAAGCAGUGAGGCCCUUCUGACGAGUCGAGUUGUUUGGGAAUGCAGCUCCAAGCGGGUGGUAAAUUCCAUCUAAGGCUAAAUACUGGCGAGAGACCGAUAGCGAACAAGUACUGUGAAGGAAAGAUGAAAAGCACUUUGAAAAGAGAGUGAAACAGCACGUGAAAUUGUUGAAAGGGAAGGGUAUUGCGCCCGACAUGGGGAUUGCGCACCGCUGCCUCUCGUGGGCGGCGCUCUGGGCUUUCCCUGGGCCAGCAUCGGUUCUUGCUGCAGGAGAAGGGGUUCUGGAACGUGGCUCUUCGGAGUGUUAUAGCCAGGGCCAGAUGCUGCGUGCGGGGACCGAGGACUGCGGCCGUGUAGUCACGGAUG
rnacentral:rRNA from 1 species